rnacentral:misc_RNA from 1 species
GAAAUGCGAUAAGUAAUGUGAAUUGCAGAAUUCAGUGAAUCAUCGAAUCUUUGAACGCAUCUUGCGCUCCUUGGUAUUCCGAGGAGCAUGCCUGUUUGAGUGUCAUUUUGAACUCUCAAAUCACGUUCGAUUCAUUUGGGACGUGGCUUUGGACUUGGGGGCUGCGGGCUUUUUCUCGAAAGGUCUGCUCCUCUGAAAUGCAUCAGUGGUAUCUGGAGCGGAAACCGCUAGGCGUGAUAACAUCACCUUUGCCUUUGGUAUGCCGCGCAUUGUGCUGCUUCCAACACACAACGAUCUUGACAAACUUGACCUCAAAUCAGGUAGGACUACCCGCUGAACUUAA